rnacentral:pre_miRNA from 1 species
CUAGUACUUCCGAAAAUACUUAUUGUCAAAAUGGAUAAAAGAAGAUGUAUUUAGAUGUAUUUUAGUUCUAAAUACAUCUUUUUUAUCUAUUUUGAUGAUAAGUAUUUUCGGAGGAGAGAGUACUUU